rnacentral:lncRNA from 1 species
CACAAUGGUGUGAGAUUAUAUUUGCAUUAAUGUUGAUGACAUCAUAACAGUAUGGGAUAAGGGGCAAAAGCCAGAGGCACUAGCAGAGUAGUUAACAAUAAAAGCAUAUGGCCUAGUACUAAAAGAACAGGUUAGUUCUUCUGUAGCUCACUUCUUAGAUAUAAACUUGGAAUUAAAAGAUAAAAAUUUAGAGACAUUGGUCUAUAGAAUACCAGCAUAUGAACCUAUUGUUAUCCCCAGAUGAUCCACAGACCCAGUUUCAUAUAAAAUGCCAGCCUUUAGUUUCUAUUUUAGAAGAGCCAAUAUGAACAUGUAUAUUACAAAUCACCAAGAAAUGGAGGAAGAGCUUAAAUAUAUCUGUGAGAUAGGACACCAACAUGAGUAUAGUAGACACGUUUUAGAAGCCAUUUAUCGUAGAAUGCAGCAACCCCCUCCAGGCAAUAUAAUGACAGACAAAAGAAUCAAGGUUAUAUGCCAGUCCCUAACACAAUGAAAAAAUACAAUACUACUAAAAAAUUAGCAAAAAAAAUC